GUGCCAGCCGCCGCGGUAAUACGUAGGUGGCGAGCGUUGUCCGGAUUUACUGGGCGUAAAGGGCGUGCAGGCGGUUUGCUAAGUCUAGGGUGAAAGCUCCCGGCUUAACUGGGAGAGGUCCUUGGAUACUGGCAGACUUGAGGAGGGUAGAGGAGAGUGGAAUUCCCGGUGUAGUGGUGAUAUGCGUAGAUAUCGGGAGGAACACCAGUGGCGAAGGCGGCUCUCUGGGCCCUACCUGACGCUGAGACGCGAAAGCGUGGGGAGCGAACCGGAUUAGAUACCAUCGGAGUAC
rnacentral:rRNA from 1 species